CCGUCAGCCAGGUCAACCCCAGGGAGGCCAAGGCCUGCGUGGUGCACGGCUCCGACCUCAAGGACAUGACGUCGGAGCAGCUUGACGAGAUCCUCAAGAACCACACGGAGAUCGUCUUCGCCCGCACCUCGCCCCAGCAGAAGCUCAUCAUCGUGGAGGGCUGCCAGCGCCAGGGUGCCAUCGUGGCUG